ACGAACGCUGGCGGCGUGCUUAACACAUGCAAGUCGAACGGUGAAGCGCCUUCCUUUUUGGUGGGUGUGGAUGAGUGGCGAACGGGUGAGUAACACGUGAGUAACCUGCCCCCUUCUUCUGGAUAACCGCAUGAAAGUGUGGCUAAUACGGGAUAUUCUGGGUCUGUCGCAUGAUGGGUCUGGGAAAGAUAUUGUUUCGGUGGGGGAUGGGCUCGCGGCCUAUCAGCUUGUUGGUGGGGUGAUGGCCUACCAAGGCGGUGACGGGUAGCCGGCCUGAGAGGGUGGACGGUCACACUGGGACUGAGACACGGCCCAGACUCCUACGGGAGGCAGCAGUGGGGAAUAUUGCACAAUGGGCGCAAGCCUGAUGCAGCGACGCCGCGUGAGGGAUGGAGGCCUUCGGGUUGUGAACCUCUUUCGCCAGUGAAGCAGGCCUGCCUCGUUUGUGGGUGGGUUGACGGUAGUUGGAUAAGAAGCGCCGGCUAACUACGUG
rnacentral:rRNA from 1 species